rnacentral:rRNA from 1 species
UACGUAGGGUGCAAGCGUUGUCCGGAAUUAUUGGGCGUAAAGAGCUCGUAGGCGGUCUGUCGCGUCGGCUGUGAAAUCCCGAGGCUCAACCUCGGGUCUGCAGUCGAUACGGGCAAACUAGAGUUCGGUAGGGGAGUCUGGAAUUCCUGGUGUAGCGGUGAAAUGCGCAGAUAUCAGGAGGAACACCGGUGGCGAAGGCGGGACUCUGGGCCGAUACUGACGCUGAGGAGCGAAAGCGUGGGGAGCAAACAGG